AAAGGAGGUUGGUGAGGGAUAGCUCAGUGGUUCUUGAGCAUUUGCCUCCUAAACCCAGACGUUGUGAGUUCAAUCCUUUGUAGGCCAUCUAGGGAUCUGGCGCAAAAAUCUGUCUGGGAAAUUGGUGCAUGCUUUGAGAGGUGGUGGACUAGAUGAACCUCCUG